UGAUGAAUAUGAAGUUUGAACUUGUUCGAUGAUUUUGUUUGAUAAAAUUCAUUAUGGAUAAAGUUCUUAAUAAAAAAGUCGAUUAGCAAAAAAAUCUCACUAACUGAAUUAAUUUCAUUUCUCCUAUGACACAGUUGCUAGUUCCUUUGAAGGUUUUUGCUCAAAUAAGUGUUAUUAAAUAAAGCAGGUUGUUCAAUUAGUAUUAGCAUUGCAGCUUCUGGACAUAUUGAAAAAUUAUUCAAUUUAAGCAUUGGAUUCUUUAAGUAAUAAGUAAAUCAAAUUACCUGAAACUUCUAAGAAGAAAAUGGAGCUAAAAUUACAAUUUUAGUUUUUAAAAGUUAUAAGAGCCAUAGUUUGAUGUGUAUAUAUAUUGUGGAAGGUCGUUUUAUCUACUAGUUAAUGAGUGUAAUUCGUUUAUCUAUUUUUUGGUUUUAUAUUGUUUUCAUAAUACAUAUUCAUCUUUAA